GCGUUGGUGGUAUAGUGGUUAGCAUAGCUGCCUUCCAAGCAGUUGACCCGGGUUCGAAUCCCGACCAACAGCA
rfam:Nematostella vectensis strain CH2 x CH6 NEMVEscaffold_103_Cont12721, whole genome shotgun sequence.